GAUGAACGCUGGCGGCGUGCCUAAUACAUGCAAGUCGAGCGAACGGACGAGAAGCUUGCUUCUCUGAUGUUAGCGGCGGACGGGUGAGUAACACGUGGAUAACCUACCUAUAAGACUGGGAUAACUUCGGGAAACCGUAGCUAAUACCGGAUAAUAUUUUGAACCGCAUGGUUCAAAAGUGAAAGACGGUCUUGCUGUCACUUAUAGAUGGAUCCGCGCUGCAUUAGCUAGUUGGUAAGGUAACGGCUUACCAAGGCAACGAUGCAUAGCCGACCUGAGAGGGUGAUCGGCAAAACUGAAACUGAGAAACGGUCCAGACUCCUACGGGAGGCAGCAGUAGGGAAUCUUCCGAAAUGGGCGAAAGCCUGACGGAGCAACGCGGGGGGAGUGAUGAAGGUCUUCGGAUCGUAAAACUCUGUUAUUAGGGAAGAAAAUAUGUGUAAGUAACUGUGCACAUCUUGACGGUACCUAAUAAGAAAGCCACGGCUAACUACGU
rnacentral:rRNA from 1 species